rnacentral:rRNA from 1 species
GCUUAACACAUGCAAGUCGAACGAGACCUUCGGGUCUAGUGGCGCACGGGUGCGUAACGCGUGGGAACCUGCCCUUAGGUUCGGAAUAACUCAGAGAAAUUUGAGCUAAUACCGGAUAAUGUCUUCGGACCAAAGAUUUAUCGCCUUUGGAUGGGCCCGCGUAAGAUUAGGUAGUUGGUGGGGUAAAGGCCUACCAAGCCGACGAUCUUUAGCUGGUCUGGGAGGAUGAUCAGCCACACUGGGACUGAGACACGGCCCAGACUCCUACGGGAGGCAGCAGUGGGGAAUAUUGGACAAUGGGCGAAAGCCUGAUCCAGCAAUGCCGCGUGAGUGAUGAAGGCCUUAGGGUUGUAAAGCUCUUUUACCAGGGAUGAUAAUGACAGUACCUGGAGAAUAAGCUCCGGCUAACUCCGUGCCAGCAGCCGCGGUAAUACGGAGGGAGCUAGCGUUGUUCGGAAUUACUGGGCGUAAAGCGCGCGUAGGCGGCUUUUUAAGUCAGGGGUGAAAUCCCGGGGCUCAACCCCGGAACUGCCCUUGAAACUGGAAAGCUAGAAUCUUGGAGAGGCGAGUGGAAUUCCGAGUGUAGAGGUGAAAUUCGUAGAUAUUCGGAAGAACACCAGUGGCGAAGGCGACUCGCUGG